rnacentral:snRNA from 1 species
AUACUUACCUGGCAGGGGAGAUACCAUGAUCACGAAGGUGGUUUUCCCAGGGCGAGGCUCACCCAUUGCACUCCGGUUGUGCUGACCCCUGCGAUUUCCCCAAAUGUGGGAAACUCGACUGCAUAAUUUGUGGUAGUGGGGGACUGCGUUCGCGCUUUCCCCUG